rnacentral:lncRNA from 1 species
CCUAGGCUGAGGUAUUGAGACUGCCAUCUCAUCCAGUCAAUUUACAACCCCAUUUUUCCUCAGUUCUGGAUUGGGCAGAGGUUAAGGUUGAAACCUUAACCUAGCAAGCUGCUUCUAGCCAGGUAAGGCUUUUUCUGUCUCAGAUCAGAAGGGUGUAUGGCAAGGACACAAAAUGCUGAGUAUCCUAAAGACUCUGGGGGAACUGGAUUCCUUCCCCAGCCUAUAAGAAAGCAUUCCAUGCAUUAGGUGUGUUAUGAUGGAUUUUUAAAAAAACACUCAGCUUCCUUAUCAACAAAAGAGCCAUUUAAAUAUUUUUGGUUAUAUAUUUAAUGGUCUGUUUGUUAACAAAUGCAAAUUAGAAACCUGAAAAGGGAAUGGUUAGGGAGGGACUUAGUUUCCUUCCAAGUUUGAGUCUUUGAUGCAAGGAAUUCAAGCUUAAGCAGUCACGUGGACCAAUGCUUGACUUUUUCGUGGCUAUAGGAAAAGCAGUUUUCUGCAGAGGGAUCCAAGAUGGGAGUGUGUGUGUGUGUAGGGUUUGCAGUUACACUUCUGGGAAAUGAGAGGUUCCUGUUCCUCUUCACCUACAGAUGGGUUUGCUGCUUAAUGAGUGAGCAGUAAUUGUGUUGAAGAGGUCAAUGCAUGCCCCUCAGGUAAGCCAGUGCACACUUCACUUUAAACAAUAGGAUACCAGAGUGGUAUGGUGGUGGUGUGGUCAGGGGCAGGAUGUGGAUGCCAUUUUGAAAACAGGCAAAUACCAGAGUGACUACAACAAACGGAGUGUGUUGGGAGGUUGUUUUUUGGCAGCAGUUUUGUGUGUGAGCUUCUAUGGUAUUUCUUUAGCAAUUGAUUAGAAAGCAAUAUGAGAUGAAUUGUGCUUUACCGGUUGCUCUUCCCCUGUACCUGCCAAAUGUGACUGUAUCACUCUUACCCCUGCCUCCUGUGAUGACACUUUGCUGUACUUAGGCUAGUUGUCUCAGCAGUUCUCCCUGCCACAUGUGCUCACGUGU